CACAAUAGAGGAAUGAGGGCAAAAUAUAUGUGAAAGCUACAAUUCCCUCUUCUCAGAGUAAGGUGAUGCACUGAUUCCUACAGAGGUCCAGUCCUGUCCUCUACAUACCCAGAGGAAUUGAAUACUGGCAGCAUAAGCAGCAUGUGCUGUCACAUCAGAUACGGCUUUCUGCACAUGGAGAAACUAACUAGAGUGGACAACACAGCUGCAUUUUAUUCCCAAUUUGGCUAUUGAGAUCCUGGCUGCAGGAUCUUGGGUGUCUCACUUCACAUAAUCAUUGGCAUGGCAUGUGGCAUGCUACUUGGAGACUCUGAAGACCUAGAAUCUUCAGCUCAGACUCCAGAUGAGCUCAGCUUUCCAAAAUCAGUUCUACCAACUCCUACCCUCCGGUACCAGGAUGAUCAGCAUAGCUGAAGGAUGUCACAAAAUUAUGAGCAUUCCUGCACUGUCAUACUCCCUCCUGCUCCAUCCCACCUCUGGAUAAGAAUCAUUCCUCUGUCCUAUGUAUCUACCCUGUGGACACUGCUGGCCAGACACUCACUCAGGAGUCACCUCGUUAUCAGAUUGACAAACCACAAGAAAAAGAAGGGAAGUACAUGUGGAGAUUUGUUACAAGGGAAUAUUUCAUGAUGCUGAGGUUUGUAGUAUGAGUCCUAUCACCUAGGCAGUAAGCAUAGUUGCAGACUGGUAGUUUUUAAACCUAGCCCCUCCUUUACUCUCUAGUGGUCCACAGUGUCUUUUGUUCCAAUAUUUAUGUCCAUGUGUGCUCAAUGUUUAGC
ensembl:lncRNA